rnacentral:rRNA from 1 species
UACAGAGGUCUCAAGCGUUGUUCGGAUUCAUUGGGCGUAAAGCGCGCGUAGGCGGCCCGGUAAGUCCGCUGUGAAAGUCAAAGGCUCAACCUUUGAAUGUCAGCGGAUACUGCCGGGCUAGAGUCCGGAAGAGGCGAGUGGAACUCCUGGUGUAGCGGUGGAAUGCGCAGAUAUCAGGAAGAACACCAACGGCGAAGGCAGCUCGCUGGGACGGAACUGACGCUGAGGCGCGAAAGCGUGGGGAGCGAACAGG